UGUGCAGGCGGGCUUGUAAGUCAGUGGUGAAAUACUGCCGCUUAACGGUAGAACUGCCAUUGAUACUGCAAGUCUUGAAUAUGGUUGAGGUAGGCGGAAUGUGUUGUGUAGCGGUGAAAUGCAUAGAUAUGACACAGAACGCCGAUUGCGAAGGCAGCUUACUAAGCCAUUAUUGACGCUGAGGCACGAAAGCGUGGGGAACGAACAGGAUUAGAUACCCUGGUAGUCC
rnacentral:rRNA from 1 species